GAUGAACGCUGGCGGCGUGCCUAAUACAUGCAAGUCGAGCGAAGCGGCGGACGGGUGAGUAACGCGUCGGCAACCUGCCCCUGACAGAGGGAUAGCCAUUGGAAACGAUGAUUAACACCUCAUGGUCAGGGAUGGGCCUGCGGCUGAUUAACUAGUUGGUGAGGUAACGGCUCACCAAGGUGACGAUCAGUAGCCGACCUGAGAGGGUGAACGGCCACAUUGGAACUGAGACACGGUCCAAACUAAUACGGAAGGCAGGAGUAGGGAAUCUUGCACAAUGGGCGAGAGCCUGAUGCAGCAACGCGGCGUGAAGGAUGAGGGCCUUCGGGUUGAAAACUUCUGUGCGAAGGGAAGCGGUACCGACAGAAGAAGUGACGGCUAAAUACGUGCCAGCAGCCGCGGUAAUAC
rnacentral:rRNA from 1 species